GAUGAACGCUAGCGGCAGGCUUAAUACAUGCAAGUCGUGGGGCAGCAUGAGUAGCAAUACUUGAUGGCGACCGGCAAACGGGUGAGGAACACGUACACAACCUUCCUUCAAGCGGGGAAUAGCCCAGAGAAAUUUGGAUUAAUACCCCAUAAUAUAUUUGAUAAGGCAUCUUAUUAAUAUUAAAGCUUCGGCACUUGAUGAUGGGUGUGCGGCUGAUUAGAUAGUUGGCGGGGUAACGGCCCACCAAGUCUACGAUCAGUAGCUGAUGUGAGAGCAUGAUCAGCCACACGGGCACUGAGACACGGGCCCGACUCCUACGGGAGGCAGCAGUAAGGAAUAUUGGACAAUGGACGAAAGUACUGAUCCAGCCAUGCCGCGUGAAGGAUUAAGGUCCUCUGGA
rnacentral:rRNA from 1 species